GAUGGCGGCGUGCUACCAUGCAAGUCGAACGUGAAAGUCCUUCGGGAUGAGUAAAGUGGCGCACGGGUGAGUAAUGCGUAGAUAAUCUGCCUGGUGAUCUGGGAUAACAUCUCGAAAGGGGUGCUAAUACCGGAUAAGCCCACGGGGUCUUCGGAUCUUGCGGGAAAAGGGGGGGACCUUCGGGCCUUCUGUCAUCAGAUGAGUCUACGUACCAUUAGCUAGUUGGUAGGGUAAAGGCCUACCAAGGCGACGAUGGUUAGCUGGUCUGAGAGGAUGAUCAGCCACACUGGAACUGAGACACGGUCCAGACUCCUACGGGAGGCAGCAGUGGGGAAUUUUGCGCAAUGGGGGAAACCCUGACGCAGCAACGCCGCGUGAGUGAUGAAGGCCUUCGGGUCGUAAAGCUCUGUCAGAGGGAAAGAAAUGUGGGGCGCUAAUACCGCUACCACUCGACGGUACCCUCAAAGGAAGCACCGGCUAACUCCGUGCCAGCAGCCGCGGUAAUACGGAGGGUGCGAGCGUUGUUCGGAAUUAUUGGGCGUAAAGCGCGUGUAGGCGGUUUUAUAAGUCUGAUGUGAAAGCCCCGGGCUCAACCUGGGAAGUGCAUUGGAUACUGUAAGACUUGAGUACGGGAGAGGGCAGUGGAAUUCCUAGUGUAGGAGUGAAAUCCGUAGAUAUUAGGAGGAACACCGGUGGCGAAGGCGGCUGCCUGGACCGAUACUGACGCUGAGACGCGAAAGCGUGGGUAGCAAACAGGAUUA
rnacentral:rRNA from 1 species